rnacentral:rRNA from 1 species
GAGUUUGAUCCUGGCUCAGGACGAACGCUGGCGGCGUGCUUAAUACAUGCAAGUCAACGAGAAACAGGGUGCUUGCAUCCUGUGGACAGUGGCGCACGGGUGCGUAACACGUAGGUAAUCUGCCCUUAGGACUGACAUAAACUCCGGGAAACCGAAGCUAAUAUCAGAUAAUGCAGCGGCUCGGCAUCGAGACAGUUGUUAAAUCUUCGGAGACCUAAGGAUGAACCUGCGUCCCAUUAGGUAGUUGGUGAGGUAAAAUGCUCACCAAGCCUGCGAUGGGUAGCUGGUCUGAGAGGAU